AUACCUUUCUCGGCCUUUUGGCUAAGAUCAAGUGUAGUAUCUGUUCUUAUCAGUUUAAUAUCUGAUACGUGGGUCAUUGGCUCACAUGAUAUUAAAUUAAUUUUUACGGGGGAAGAGGCCAUUGCAGUAGCUUGCUACUGGGCCUCUUGUGUGUCGCUCAUGCGUUGCACUACAGCAUGGGCAUGGCGCACCCCAC